rnacentral:lncRNA from 1 species
AUGCAGGGAGGAAGAUUGAUCUCAAGGGGCACACUCCCUGGCUCCUCGGAGUGGCCCUGUCCUGUGCAUUCACAUCCAGGGAUGUGCUCGCUUCAGGCUGGGAUUCACGCGGUGCCAACAGGGUCAGAGACACGACCAGCCCAAAAGACCUGCACAUCUUUCCUGGCCAAUGGAUCCUUUCUCCAGCACUCCUCAGAAAUCCCUCUAGGAGAAAAAAUAAUCUCCGGGAAGUUUAUUGCGACAACUUGGAAAAUGGGCAAACAAACCAAAGCCAAAAUAACUGCAUGUAAGGGUUAUGAAGAGCCUUCAAAGGAAGCCCUGAGACAGAGGCCCCAAGGGACUGCAGAGGUGGCCCUGGCCCCACUCCAGCAGCAUCUCCCUCGAGGGGUCAGCCUCCUGGGUUGUACCAAGCAUCUCGGUUUGUUCCUUCAUUCUCCCCUGACCCUCAUUAACCAAGAGGAGAAACCAGUUCCAAAAAGGCCUGUUUGCCCCAUAUUGUCUGUUUCAUAUCCGCAGAGCACGAUGUGCCCUAUUCAGAAUUAAACUGUGAUCACUAAACUCAUCUGUGUCAGGGGCCUUAUUCAAAACCUGCUUUCCCAGCAAAGCAGGGCCAGUGGAUUAGUAUCCACCCCCCACCCCAUGCUUGGUGGAGUGGUUCUCAUCUUUAAUUCUCAUUUUUAAUGCCUUUGGCAAGAGACAGAGAUAGGAAGAGAGAAGGGAAGACAGAGAGAGAGAGAGCAAGGGAAAAAAAGAAAGACACAAAAGACGAGCGAGAGUGGAAGGAAGGCGCGGGAACCGCAGCAUGUUUUGUUGGAACGCCGGCACUGCCUUUAUCAGGAUCACCAGAGGGAGAGCGGGGUUUGAUCCUGUUCUCCGCUGGGAACCAAAAAGGCUUUAUUGUACCGUUUCUAACAUCUCACAGUUAAGAUCAGAACAAUGCGCCCU